rnacentral:misc_RNA from 1 species
CCCAACUGGGCCACCCGCCGUGUUCAACAACCUUAACCCGUUGAGUCCCGUCACGAGUCAAGAACACGUAGAUAUCAGUACUCAAUUCCUCUACGUCACCAUUCCACCCACUCUCCCCAUAAGACGCCACAGCUGUAUAAACCCCAGAAGGAGAAACCGCAGGGCUAAAAUCGGCGAUCCCAUAAGGGGUGAGUCUCCGAGUCACCCCGGUUUUCAACUCCGUCGAGUACACAGCAGCCCAACUCGCCCUAGGCUUCCCAGGAUCCUCAUGCGUGGACACAUAUAUCAGAUAAUCUCCGGUCACAGUAGGCUUAUCCUUCAUUGCAAUUCCUUUUUUGCCCUUCAGCAGCGGCACUUGAACGCGUUCGGG